CUGGAUUUCUUCAUCUUCAAAGCUGCGAAACUUGCAUACUGAACAGGCAAACUGAAUCCUGAAGAAGGAACAUGAAAAGAACAGUGGUGAGGGAGGCGGAGCAGUAGUUACCCAAACUUACCCCCACCAUCUGAAGAACAGGAUACAGCCGUGCAGCUACUUCAGGAAAAUGAUUCACACAAUAACUCUUUAACAUAUCAGUCUCUCUUUAGCCCAAAUUCUCUAAGAGAACACCCUGAAAUGGUGACUUUUUAGAAUUUUGGACUUCCCAAUCUCUACUUGACUGCUCUGGGAACUUCGUAUUUAACUCCACAGCUUCUCAGAUGGGUUUGUCUUUAGCCACCAAGAUGACAUGUGACAAUCUUAUUUUAUGUGAGAGAAAAAUUCUAGUUGCUGUGACACUGCACACCUGUAAUCCUAGUGACUCGGGAGGCUAAGACAAGAGGAUCCAAGUUCCAAGCCAGGUUGAUGGUAGAGCACCCCUACGUUCAAUCAGUAGUACUGAGGGGAAAAAAAAUUUCUGAAGACUUUACAUAAUUCAAAGUUCACAUAACACAAAAUAAUUUCUUCCUUGAGACUUAACAUUCUGGAUUUUAUAAAUAAAAGCUUAAGCUCCUGU